UCGAGGUUGAAGUUCAAGGUUAUCUUACGAAGAGGCUACUACGUCAAAGCUUGUCUACUGAGAAAGACGAAUCGAUAUAUACCGGGUGCUCCGUGGAUGGAGUAAGACAGUAACCCCUGACUGGGAUUGUACAGUUAAGGUUGAAAGUUAAUCGAUAAUCCACGCUUCACCCGUUAUCCAUUUCUCACGUGUUGGAUAUAAAAGCUAUUCUUCGAGUGGCCUCGAAUCACCACGCAGACACGACGUAGACUGAAUUUAGCAAACCAUUUAGCGAAGCCGCCAAACACUUCUAACUCUGUCCCUUACUGCAACUUCUAAUAUUUCGAAUGUUAAAUAAAAUUAUACUUUUAUAUCGUUUCGUGAUAAAUGAUUUCAGUUAUCGCUUGAUUUUCGUGAAAAAAAAAAUGGAAAAAAUAAAAAAUAUUUCGAGUAUCGGGAAAAAUUAAAUCGAGAGAAAAGAAAAAUGAUGAGAAAAAUACGAUACAUCGGACUUGUAUAUCGUGGAGUCUACAUUCGUAAACGAAAGGUGCACAUAAACUUGUUUACAAGAGGCGACAGGAACAGGAACUUAAUGCGUGCACUGUAUUUGAACAAAAAGUUGUCCGCUGCAAUGGUGUGUGCAGUCGCACUAAACACACGGAUCCAGCCAAGACCUUAAUACUGCGUAGAAGAUUCAAGGGAGGGAGAAGGGUAGGCUUAAACUGCGCACUUUCACAGUUAGGGGACGAUGAUUCACGAAUACACCAGCCAAUGCACCCAUGAAUAAAUAUGCAAACAUAAUAAGUUUGUUGAAAUUUCGUUUCACAACCUGUCUCCUAUCUUUGACGACGUAAAGCACGUUUCGCAUAAAAAAAAAAAGAAAAAAGAAAAUUUAUUAUGCACCGAGCAAAUUUAUCCACGUUUCUGAAUACAGCGAUAGCGUUUCAACGGAAUGGAAUAGAAAUAGAAUACAAGAUAAUUUAAAUGUAUCGCUAGAUAUCGAAAAUAUCGUGAAUUUUUUUUUUAAUAACACGCUUGAAAGGAUGAAAAAAUUCGCUGAAUUUCGAACUCGAAUUGUAGGUAAAGAUCGUUUGUUUGGCACGUGCGUUCCGACGGACAUAACAGUCGUAACGUAUCACUACAAAAGUCACGUUUAAUUACGACAUACUGUGACAAUAUACUUUGCGCGAUCGAUAAUGUGGCAUCUUUUUUAGCGACAUUUUUAGCGUUGGACGUCCGAUCUUUGGCACCGAAAAGAAAAUGCAAAACAUCCAAAUGUAAACGUCAUGUGUACAAUAGAGCUUCGUUUCGGAUUGAAAUUAUUCCAUGAAAAACUGAACGAUGAAAAAUACCUUGGAAAAAAAUUGGGAAAAUAUUAUCCGUUUAAAUUAAUAUCCAUCGAUAGAUAUAGCGUGGAACAACUGUGGACACACAACCAUCAACAAAUCAAACAGAAAAAAAAAUUUAUUCUCACGACCGUUGUUGUGUAUAUCCGAGGUUACUUUUUAUCAACAUAUUUUAAAAUGACAACUAUCUGCGGAGAAGAAUCACAAACA